UCCCAAGAGAGUAUCAACACCAGCAUACUUGCAAGAUUUGACAUAAACAACACCUUGAACAGCUAUAAAGCUUCUAGGAAUAGGACUAGGAUGCAAUGGUGGAUGAGCAGGAACAGGGGGAUGCAAAGGUGAGUGAGCUGGAACAGGGGGGUGCAGAGGUGAGUGAGCUGGAACAGGGGGAUGCACAGGUGGAUGUGUUGGAACAGCAGGAGUGUGAACAGGAGCAGGAGCAGGUGGGUGGUGAUGGUGNNNNNNNNNNNNNNGGGGUAGAAUGGUAAGGAGGGUGUGAAGGAGUAGGAGUGUGAGAAACAGGGGAAGGAGCAGGGGAUGGUGUGUGAUUGUGGUGGUGGUGAUGGUGGUGAGGGGCGUUAGAUGGUGGAUGAAGUGGUGAUUUAGUUGGUGGGUGAAGUGGAGAUGGUGAG
rnacentral:lncRNA from 1 species